GGGCCCGUAGCCCAGUCUGGAUAAGGCGACAGCCUUCUAAGCUGUAGAUCGUGGGUUCAAAUCCCACCGGGCCCA
rnacentral:tRNA from 1 species